AUACGUAGGUGGCAAGCGUUGUCCGGAAUUAUUGGGCGUAAAGCGCGCGCAGGUGGUUCCUUAAGUCUGAUGUGAAAGCCCCCGGCUCAACCGGGGAGGGUCAUUGGAAACUGGGGAACUUGAGUGCAGAAGAGGAUAGUGGAAUUCCAAGUGUAGCGGUGAAAUGCGUAGAGAUUUGGAGGAACACCAGUGGCGAAGGCGACUGUCUGGUCUGUAACUGACACGGAGGCGCGAAAGCGUGGGGAGCAAACAGGAUUAGAUACCCUGGUAGUCCACGCCGUAAACGAUGAGUGCUAAGUGUUGGGGGGUUUCCGCCCCUCAGUGCUGCAGCUAGCGCAUUAAGCACUCCGCCUGGGGAGUACGGUCGCAAGACUGAAACUCAAAUGAAUUGACGGGG
rnacentral:rRNA from 1 species